GACGCUGGCGGCAGGCCUACACAUGCAAGUCGAGCGAGACCUUCGGGUCUAGCGGCGGACGGGUGAGUAACGCGUGGGAACGUGCCCUUCUCUACGGAAUAGUCCCGGGAAACUGGGUUUAAUACCGUAUACGCCCUUCGGGGGAAAGAUUUAUCGGAGAAGGAUCGGCCCGCGUUAGAUUAGGUAGUUGGUGGGGUAAUGGCCUACCAAGCCUACGAUCUAUAGCUGGUUUGAGAGGAUGAUCAGCCACACUGGGACUGAGACACGGCCCAGACUCCUACGGGAGGCAGCAGUGGGGAAUCUUAGACAAUGGGGGCAACCCUGAUCUAGCCAUGCCGCGUGAGUGAUGAAGGCCUUAGGGUCGUAAAGCUCUUUCGCUUGGGGAAGAUAAUGACUGNCCCAGUAAAGAAACCNCGGCUAACUCCGUGCCAGCAGCCGCGGGAAUACCGGAGGGGGUUAGCGUUGUUCGNAUUACUGGGCGUAAAGCGCCCUUAGCCGAU
rnacentral:rRNA from 1 species